CACAUGUAUCCUCUGUGUGUGUAGGUACUGUGCUGCUCCAGUCUGUCCCAGGCGGUGCUGUGUGAGGGGAGUCCAGAUGGUGUUGGGCAUGUCCAAACGAAGGCUCGUUAGCUCCUCCUACGCUGUAGCCACAACCCCGCUGCAGGUCUACACACUCACACAGGAUGGCAGGCUGCAGGCCUGCCUGUCUUUGGUCUGUUCCUACUGAGCCGUGCGGACCGUGGCGGCGGUGGAGGACAGACUGACGCUCUGAUUGGUCAACCCACGGCGGACAUGUUGUUCUGUGGAACGGACGACGGGGCAGCUGCUGCGGAGCAUCACUCUGGGAGAUGGUUUCACGGAUACGCCUGCCUCCGAGCAUACUCCCUCUGCGUGG